rnacentral:rRNA from 1 species
AUUGAACGCUGGCGGCAUGCUUUACACAUGCAAGUCGAACGGCAGCGCGGGCUUCGGCCUGGCGGCGAGUGGCGAACGGGUGAGUAAUACAUCGGAACGUGCCCAGUAGUGGGGGAUAGCUCGGCGAAAGCCGGAUUAAUACCGCAUACGACCUGAGGGUGAAAGCGGGGGAUCUUCGGACCUCGCGCUAUUUGAUCGGCCGAUGGCAGAUUAGCUAGUUGGUGGGGUAAAGGCCUACCAAGGCGACGAUCUGUAGCUGGUCUUAGAGGACGACCAGCCACACUGGGACUGAGACACGGCCCAGACUCCUACGGGAGGCAGCAGUGGGGAAUUUUGGACAAUGGGCGAAAGCCUGAUCCAGCAAUGCCGCGUGUGUGAUGAAGGCCUUAGGGUUGUAAAGCACUUUUGGCGGGAACGAAAAGGACUGUGCCAAUACCACGGUUCGAUGACGGUACCCGCAGAAUAAGCACCGGCUAACUACGUG